GACGGUUUGUAGGUGUCCAAUCUGUCGAUGAGUCAGGUGUGUUUUCUUCUGUCCUGAUGUGAGAGUUAUGAGAGUUGCCGGCUCCAAUAUGGCGGCGACGUUGACGUGCGGUCGAGCGGCCAAUGAGGCGUCUAGGCUUUACUCUCGCGUACAGGAGAUUGCCCAUUUGAUUGCGCCAACCAAGCACGUAGAUGCGUCCGUCAUCUUUAAGGUCGAAUAUUCGAAGAUGCCACAACUUCACAUUUAAAUUCCGGAACAAACAGUAUACCUUUCACAGGCAGCGGGACCCUGAGGGAGUGUGAGAGUCCAUGGACCGACACACACUGUGAUAAAUUGCUCUCAAUCUAGUGAGUGUUACUC